rnacentral:rRNA from 1 species
UACAGCCAUGUCACAUUGAAACACUGGUUCUCGUAUGAUCACUGAGGUUAAGCAACAUUGAGCCUGGUCAAUAACUAGAUGGGUGACCACUUGAUAAUAUCAAGUGCUGUAUG